CCUACGGGAGGCAGCAGUGGGGAAUAUUGGGCAAUGGGCGCAAGCCUGACCCAGCAACGCCGCGUGAAGGAAGAAGGCUUUCGGGUUGUAAACUUCUUUUCUCAGGGACGAAGAAAGUGACGGUACCUGAGGAAUAAGCCACGGCUAACUACGUGCCAGCAGCCGCGGUAAUACGUAGGUGGCAACAGUUAUCCGGAUUUACUGGGUUUAAAGGGCGUGUAGGCGGGGAAGCAAGUCAGAUGUGAAAACCACGGGCUCAACCUGUGGCCUGCAUUUGAAACUGUUUUUCUUGAGUGCUGGAGAGGCAGACGGAAUUCCUAGGGUAGCGGUGAAAUGCGUAGAUAUUAGGAGGAACACCAGUGGCGAAGGCGGUCUGCUGGACAGCAACUGACGCUGAGGCGCGAAAGCGUGGGGAGCAAACAGGAUUAGAUACCCGAGUAGUC
rnacentral:rRNA from 1 species